AGUGAACGCUGGCGGUAGGCCUAACACAUGCAAGUCGAACGGCAGCACAGUAAGAGCUUGCUCUUACGGGUGGCGAGUGGCGGACGGGUGAGGAAUACAUCGGAAUCUACUUUUUCGUGGGGGAUAACGUAGGGAAACUUACGCUAAUACCGCAUACGCCCUACGGGUGAAAGCAGGGGAUCUUCGGACCUUGCGCGAGUGAAUGAGCCGAUGUCGGAUUAGCUAGUUGGCGGGGUAAAGGCCCACCAAGGCGACGAUCCGUAGCUGGUCUGGGAGGAUGAUCAGCCACACUGGAACUGAGACACGGUCCAGGCUCCUACGGGAGGCAGCAGUGGGGAAUAUUGGACAAAGGGCGCAAGCCUGAUCCAGCCAUACCGCGUGGGUGAAGAAGGCCUUCGGGUUGUAAAGCCCUUUUGUUGGGAAAGAAAAGCAGCAGGUUAAUACCCCGCUGUUCUGACGGUACCCAAAGAAUAAGCACCGGCUAACUUCGUG
rnacentral:rRNA from 1 species